AGGGUGGAAAGCUAAUCAAGCCUGGUGAAAGCAGGAUCUCCCCGAGAGCUAUAGAGGUAGCGGCUCGGAAGAAUACCAUAGGGGGUAGAGCACUGUUUCGGCUAGGGGGUCAUCACGACUUACCAAACCGAUGCAAACUCCGAAUACCUAUGAGUACUAUCCGGGAGACAGACUGCGGGUGCUAACGUCCGUAGUCAAGAGGAAAACAAUCCAGACCGCCAGCUAAGGCCCCAAAAUCAUAGUUAAGUGGGAAACGAUGUGGGAAGGCAUAGACAGCUAGGAGGUUGGCUUAGAAGCAGCCACCCUUUAAAGAAAGCGUAAUAGCUCACUAGUCGAGUCGGCCUGCGCGGAAGAUGUAACGGGGCUAAAACUAUGUGCCGAAGCUGCGGAUGUAUACUUUGUAUACGUGGUAGGGGAGCGUUCUGUAAGCCGAUGAAGGUGUGUUGAGAAGCAUGCUGGAGGUAUCAGAAGUGCGAAUGCUGACGUGAGUAACGACAAAACGGGUGAAAAACCCGUUCGCCGAAAGACCAAGGGUUCCAGUCCAACGUUAAUCAGGGCUAAUGAAGUCGCACCCUAAAGCGAGGCCGAAAGACGUAGUCGAUGGGAAAAUAGUUAAAAUUCCAUAACUUCUGUUUAAAGCGAUGAGAGGACGGA
rnacentral:rRNA from 1 species